AACAAUGUGUUUCUAAGCACCUGCUGUUUUGCGUUCAUCAGAUUUGAACGUUAGCAGACUGCCUUUUUGUAUUACCUUUGAUUAAUCUUUAAACAAAAAUCGAACUUCAUUCUAUCUAUGUACAUAUAUAUUCAUAUAUAUGUUUGUACAAAAGAUCAAUUUUAGCUAUACUUUUGUCACCGCAAGCUCAAAAUGCAUUGAUAUAUUUUUUGUGUUUAUCAUUGCAAAAUUAUUUUUCUGUUUUAUAUUGUAUAUUUUUUCUAUUUCUUGUGUAAAUAAUAUGAUGAAUCUAUCAAGAUAAAUUCGGAUUGAAAGAAAUUAAAUGAUUUGUUGAUCGUU
rnacentral:misc_RNA from 1 species